rnacentral:rRNA from 1 species
UGGGGGAUAUUGCACAAUGGGGGAAACCCUGAUGCAGCAACGCCGCGUGAGGGAAGAAGGUCUUCGGAUUGUAAACCUCUGUUGACAGGGAAGAAGUAAGUGACGGUACCUGUCGAGGAAGCCACGGCUAACUACGUGCCAGCAGCCGCGGUAAUACGUAGGUGGCAAGCGUUAUCCGGAAUUACUGGGUGUAAAGGGUGUGUAGGCGGGACUGCAAGUCAGAUGUGAAAACUAUUGGCUUAACCAAUAGCCUGCAUUUGAAACUGUGGUUCUUGAGUGUCGGAGAGGUAAAUGGAAUUCCCGGUGUAGCGGUGAAAUGCGUAGAUAUCGGGAGGACACCGGUG